GGUGAACGGGUGAGUAACACGUGAGCAAUCUGCCCUGGUCUCUGGGAUAACCCCGAGAAAUCGGAGCUAAUACCGGAUACGACACCUCCCGGCAUCGGGUGGGUGUGGAAAGAAUUUCGGUCCAGGAUGAGCUCGCGGCCUAUCAGCUUGUUGGUGAGGUAACGGCUCACCAAGGCGACGACGGGUAGCCGGCCUGAGAGGGUGACCGGCCACACUGGGACUGAGACACGGCCCAGACUCCUACGGGAGGCAGCAGUGGGGAAUAUUGCACAAUGGGCGCAAGCCUGAUGCAGCAACGCCGCGUGGGGGACGAAGGCCUUCGGGUUGUAAACCUCUUUUAGUAGGGAAGAAGCGCAAGUGACGGUACCUACAGAAAAAGCACCGGCUAACUACGUGCCAGCAGCCGCGGUAAUACGUAGGGUGCAAGCGUUGUCCGGAAUUAUUGGGCGUAAAGAGCUC
rnacentral:rRNA from 1 species